rnacentral:rRNA from 1 species
AACGUAGGAGACAAACGUUAUCCGGAGUUACUGGGCGUAAAGAGCGCGCAGGCGGUCGAUCAAGUCGCGUGUGAAAGCCCCCGGCUCAACUGGGGAGGGUCACGCGAUACUGAUCGACUCGAAGGCAGGAGAGGGUAGUGGAAUUCCCGGUGUAGUGGUGAAAUGCGCAGAUAUCAGGAAGAACACCCGUGGCGAAAGCGGCUCUCUGGAACGGUACUGACGCUGAGACGCGAAAGCGUGGGGAGCGAACAGG